CAGCCGCCGCGGUAAUACGUAGGGUGCGAGCGUUAAUCGGAAUUACUGGGCGUAAAGCGUGCGCAGGCGGUUGUGUAAGACAGGUGUGAAAUCCCCGGGCUUAACCUGGGAACUGCGCUUGUGACUGCACAGCUAGAGUAUGGCAGAGGGGGGUGGAAUUCCACGUGUAGCAGUGAAAUGCGUGGAGAUGUGGAGGAACACCGAUGGCGAAGGCAGCCCCCUGGGCCAAUACUGACGCUCAUGCACGAAAGCGUGGGGAGCAAACAGGAUUAGAUACCCCCGUAGUCCCUGUCUCUUAUAC
rnacentral:rRNA from 1 species